rnacentral:rRNA from 1 species
UACGGAGGGGGCGAGCGUUGUUCGGAAUUAUUGGGCGUAAAGGGCGCGUAGGCGGCUGAUCAAGUCGGGUGUGAAAUCCCUCGGCUCAACCGAGGAACUGCACCCGAUACUGGUCGGCUAGAGUCCGGGAGGGGAUGGCGGAAUUCCCAGUGUAGCGGUGAAAUGCGUAGAUAUUGGGAAGAACACCAGUGGCGAAGGCGGCCAUCUGGACCGGAACUGACGCUGAGGCGCGAAAGCCAGGGGAGCGAAUGGG